CGUCUCUCCUCCUCUGUUCUACACCCUCAGGUCUCCCUGGGACCUGCCUGACUGGAAUGGGAAAUCACACCUUAUCCUAGUCUGCUCAGCUCAUUGGCUGAUCAGCUAUUUAUUAACCAAUCAGGAUGGAAAACGGUUCUUACAUAACAUCGAGAUUAGAGAUGCCUGCCCACGCCAUCACCCAUCCGGACUGCAGCUAGAUGAUGCAGCUAGUCUGGGCGUGGAAAUCAGAUCUGAACACACAGUGCACAGCACCCUCAACAGAGCACUUCCUGGUCUUCCAGGGGACCCAGAACUAUCAGCUUACAACUGCCUUUGGGUCCACCUCUCUCCUCUGAAGGCACCCAUACCCGCUCAGACACACACAUACACGUAAUUGUAAAAGCAUAAACUUCAAAACACUGGCCCCAGUUUUCAUGAUAAAGGUUCACUUUUAAAAAAAAAAA
rnacentral:lncRNA from 1 species